ACCCAACACUGGCACUGCCGUACACUCACCAACAACUACACACGCGAUGCAGUCCGAGGGGCGAAACGACGCCGGUUGACUGCUCGUGGUGUAGAAAAAGUAUGGAUACGCAACUUAAAGCGAUCCAAAAAGUACAACGGAAGCAUCUUUUGCCUGGGCUAACCUUAUGCUACAAGCUGCUACAACAAACAUGGCGGGGAGGAGAAUGGGUUCUCUAACCCCGCCUGCACUACCUUUGGAACCAUAAAACUAACGAAGCAACACAACGGUCAGUAAAAAUAGCAACCCACGAGGUUAUCAAAAUGCCUACAACACGUACGAUUUCCAUGAAGCCUUCGGAAGGGCAACACGAAAAUUAAGCAUCGAGCCAAAACGGUCGUGACAGAUUUUUUCCGGAUGUACUAAGCACCGCGUAGAAUCCUGCUUACGUUUUGCAGCAACACAUCCACGGAUUCUCCUGCACGAUGGACCAACUAGGACGGUCAUCAG
rnacentral:misc_RNA from 1 species